AUCCAGCCGACGAGUUCCAAAUAGGAAGAAACGCGCGUUGUGGAU
rnacentral:hammerhead_ribozyme from 1 species